AUAGGCCCGGAGCGAGGGGGAUUCGGCGGAAUAUUAACCGAAUAUCAUCACUGAUGGUAAUAUUUCGCCGAAUCCCCCUCGCUCCGGAUCUAA
rnacentral:miRNA from 1 species